ACAAGCGGUGAGUGCUUUGGGGUGGGGUGACUGCGUACCUUUUGUAUAAUGGGUCAGCGACUUAUAUUCUGUAGCAAGGUUAACCGAAUAGGGGAGCCGGAGGGAAACCGAGUCUUAAUUGGGCGUUAAGUUGCAGGGUAUAGACCCGAAACCCGGUGAUCUAGCCAUGGGCAGGUUGAAGGUUGGGUAACACUAACUGGAGGACCGAACCGACUAAUGUUGAAAAAUUAGCGGAUGACCUGUGGCUGGGGGUGAAAGGCCAAUCAAACCGGGAGAUAGCUGGUUCUCCCCGAAAGCUAUUUAGGUAGCGCCUCGUGAACUCAUCUCCGGGGGUAGAGCACUGUUUCGGCUAGGGGGCCAUCCCGGCUUACCAACCCGAUGCAAACUGCGAAUACCGGAGAAUGUUAUCACGGGAGACACACGGCGGGUGCUAACGUCCGUCGUGAAGAGGGAAACAACCCAGACCGCCAGCUAAGGUCCCAAAGUCAUGGUUAAGUGGGAAACGAUGUGGGAAGGCCCAGACAGCCAGGAUGUUGGCUUAGAAGCAGCCAUCAUUUAAAGAAAGCGUAAUAGCUCACUGGUCGAGUCGGCCUGCGCGGAAGAUGUAACGGGGCUAAACCAUGCACCGAAGCUGCGGCAGCGAACGUAUCACCCAAGACAACUUUGCGGAGUUGACGAUUGACGGAGCGAAGCGACGUCAAAGCGUUCAUUAAAGUCGAGUUGGCUUAGGGAUACGUUCGUUGGGUAGGGGAGCGUUCUGUAAGCCAGUGAAGGUGUGUCGUGAGGCAUGCUGGAGGUAUCAGAAGUGCGAAUGCUGACAUAAGUAACGAUAAAGCGGGUGAAAAGCCCGCUCGCCGGAAGACCAAGGGUUCCUGUCCAACGUUAAUCGGGGCAGGGUGAGUCGACCCCUAAGGCGAGGCCGAAAGGCGUAGUCGAUGGGAAACGGGUUAAUAUUCCCGUACUUGGUGUUACUGCGAAGGGGGGACGGAGAAGGCUAUGUUGGCCGGGCGACGGUUGUCCCGGUUUAAGCGUGUAGGCUGGUUUUCCAGGCAAAUCCGGAAAAUCAAG
rnacentral:rRNA from 1 species